AGGCCUGACUUUACCAGGCCACAGCUGUAAGCAAUGAGAAGCAGAGUGCUAGAAAAGAGUGGGGUGGCUGGGUGAGAAGGGAACUGGAGUCAGUGGCUGCUGUGGGAAGAGGAAAGAGUCAGUGCUGUGAGGAGCUGCCCAUGAGAAAACGCUCAGAAGAUACACAGCCCUGCAGGCAGUGAAGAAAAUGUUCUUUGAAUGACAGUCCCUGACACAUUUAGGAGGGGAACACAGGAGUAAGAAGCAUUAAGAAAAAUUUGGGGUUCAGGCACAGAAGGGAUUGUGGUCUGUUGCUGUGUAGAGACUGGAAAAAGUCUAACACAGGUGCAGAGUACUGCAAAUUCCCUAUUUGACCUUGCUACUACUUUAUUAAAACUGAGGAUGAGAGAUUUGACAGCUGAAAUUACUACAGAAAUCUUCAGGAGAUUCCUGCUGUCCUCCUUAGAUGUGACACCACCCUUAAAUCAGUGUACACAGCCCCGUUGGAGCAGGCGGUGGCCGCGGGCAGGGUCGAGAGGUGCUGCGGGGGAAAUCCGAGCACGGAAGCGCUCUGAGGGCACAGGGAGGUCGGGGGACAUUCGAGCUCUCCAUUCCCAUCGUGCCGUUUCCUUUCCUGCAUCCUCUCCCUGGCCUCAGCAGUUGUGCCCCGGGAGCAGCUCCGGGCAGCAGGAUCCCGCAGGUCACUGUACCCAGCAGAGGGCACUGCGGAAAGGGGAACGGGCACAGCUGCUGGACGGAGCACUCGGGGAAACUGCUCCAGAUAAAGGACUGAAGGUGAAAACCCUGCCACUAGUCCAGGUGAUUCUGACCCGUGCUCUGGCAGCUUAAGGAGCACUUGCUGCUUUUUGCAAGGUGAAUUCGACUUAGGGUCUAUUUGGAGUUUGAACAAGCCCAUCUGGAAGCCAGCUCUGCAGACCAUUUCCAGAGCAGCAAACAGUACUGGGAAGUAUGUAAUGGUGAUGGGUGUGGUGCGGUCCUGCAGUCCGGAGCCCAUUCUUCGAGCAAUAAAGAUGACAGAUCUCUCUGAAAACCCCAUUCAUAAGAAUAUGUGGAACCUUGAAGUGGAGGAUUUGCACAGAG